rnacentral:lncRNA from 1 species
AAAAACGAAAAUUGAAUCAAACACAAAGUGUCUCUCUAAGUGAGUUUUAAAAUGAAUCUCCAGCAGUCAGAGGCUCCGGAACUCAAAACAUUGAAUGCCUCAAAAAAUAUCUCAACAACGAAAAGUUGGGUACCUCUUAUUGAAAAUUUUACACCAUUUUAGGUGGAAGCAGGAACUCCAAAUUGUGUAAAAUGGAACGGUGGAACUCUGAAAUCUUGAGAUUUUAGUUUUCAAUCUAACUAACGAGGCCUCUCUGUUUGAAAACUUCAAGCAUUGACACACCAAUUUUUGCAGGUGACUCGACCACCGUUACUCCAGCUUCUCGUAGUGUCUUGAUUUUGUCUUGGGCUGUUCCUUUUCCACCUGAGACAAUGGC